rnacentral:sRNA from 1 species
ACGAACCGCUCGUGCGCUCCGGUUCUGAGCGCGCCGUCCGCAUCUGCCUGACGACCGCUGGCUACGUUUCGUUGGCC